UUGUCUCAAAGAUUAAGCCAUGCAUGUCUCAGUACAAGCCAAAUUAAGGUGAAACCGCGAAAGGCUCAUUAAAUCAGUUAUGGUUCCUUAGAUCGUACCAACGUUACUUGGAUAACUGUGGUAAUUCUAGAGCUAAUACAUGCAAACAGAGCUCCGACCGGAGACGGAAGGAGCGCUUUUAUUAGAUCAAAACCAAUCGGUGGCGGUUUCCGUCAUCGUACAACUUGGUGACUCUGAAUAACUUUACGCUGAUCGCACGGUCUUGCACCGGCGACGCAUCUUUCAAAUGUCUGCCUUAUCAACUGUCGAUGGUAGGUUCUGCGCCUACCAUGGUUGUAACGGGUAACGGGGAAUCAGGGUUCGAUUCCGGAGAGGGAGCCUGAGAAACGGCUACCACAUCCAAGGAAGGCAGCAGGCGCGCAAAUUACCCACUCCCGGCACGGGGAGGUAGUGACGAAAAAUAACGAUACGGGACUCAUCCGAGGCCCCGUAAUCGGAAUGAGUACACUCUAAACCCUUUAACGAGGAUCAAUUGGAGGGCAAGUCUGGUGCCAGCAGCCGCGGUAAUUCCAGCUCCAAUAGCGUAUAUUAAAGUUGUUGCGGUUAAAAAGCUCGUAGUCGAAUCUGUGUCCCGCGCCGCCGGUUCAUCGUUCGCGGUGUUAACUGGCGUGNCGCGGGACGUCCUGCCGGUGGGCUUAGCUCGCNAGGGCGGCCCAACUCAAUCCCGCCGCGGUGCUCUUCAUUGAGUGUCGAGGUGGGCCGGCACGUUUACUUUGAACAAAUUAGAGUGCUUAAAGCAGGCUAAAACUUUGCCUGAAUACUGUGUGCAUGGAAUAAUGGAAUAGGACCUCGGUUCUAUUUUGUUGGUUUUCGGAACCCCGAGGUAAUGAUUAAUAGGAACGGAUGGGGGCAUUCGUAUUGCGACGUUAGAGGUGAAAUUCUUGGAUCGUCGCAAGACGGACAGAAGCGAAAGCAUUUGCCAAAAACGNUUUCAUUGAUCAAGAACGAAAGUUAGAGGUUCGAAGGCGAUCAGAUACCGCCCUAGUUCUAACCAUAAACGAUGCCAGCUAGCGAUCCGCCGACGUUCCUCCGAUGACUCGGCGGGCAGCUUCCGGGAAACCAAAGCUUUUGGGUUCCGGGGGAAGUAUGGUUGCAAAGCUGAAACUUAAAGGAAUUGACGGAAGGGCACCACCAGGAGUGGAGCCUGCGGCUUAAUU
rnacentral:rRNA from 2 species